CAGUAAAGCAGACAAGAAGAAGCAGAAGGUGGGCAGGAAGGGUGGACAGAGCAAUGAAGGCUUGGACCUGGAGGAGGAGUUCUCAGACGAUGAGAGAGACAAGAAAACAGCCUUGUAAAGAAAGCCUCCUGUUGCCUGGGGGGCUCCAUCAAGCUGCAGCCACCACCUGAAACCAGACUGGUGUCAUCUGGGUCUAAAACUGCCCUCCAAUGAGGAGGCCAGCCUUGCCUAUGCCACACUCAUCCCCCCACUCCUCCACUGACGCCCCCCCACUGACGCCCCCCCCACUGAUGCCCCCCCCACUGACGCCCCCCCACUGACGCCCCCCCACUGACACACUCACCACUGGCCUGGUAUCCACUCCUGUUCAUCUGCCUUCCUGCAUCCUUUCUCAUGUCCAAUGUGCCCCUCUCCAGGCACGUUCCUGGUGUCACCUAACUGUCCCCUACGUCUCUGAGCCCCAGUGCUGCUCUUGGUGGCUUUCCACCCUCUGUGCUAUGUGCUGGUGCCUUGGAGGAGAGACACCCCGUGGUCCAAGCUCUUUCAGCCAGAGUCUCUUCUCUGUCUUGACUCUGCCUUAUGGUCACUCGGUUCUCUGUGAGGACAAGUCCUCCAGGGCAGGCUGUGUUUGGCAGACAGUUCCAGCAAUGACCACCAGAGGGCAGGGUCACCUCCCAGCACCUACCCUUAAUAAAGGCCCCUAAUGGUGUAG
rnacentral:lncRNA from 1 species